UAUAAACAUAAGCUGUCUCUCUUCAUGUCACACCCUGGUCUCUGUAGAAUAUUUCUUUCUUAACUGCUGCAUUUCACAUGUGGCUCCAUGUGUAUGUCUGUGUGGGUGUGUGUGUAU